rnacentral:rRNA from 1 species
GAUGAACGCUAGCGGGAGGCUUAACACAUGCAAGUCGAGCGGGAUUCGCCUUCGGGCGAUGAGAGCGGCGCACGGGUGCGUAACGCGUAUGCAACCUGCCUCAUACAGGGGGAUAGCCCAUGGAAACGUGGAUUAAUAUCCCAUAGUACAGCAAUUCCGCAUGGGAUUGUUGUUAAAACCGAGGUGGUAUGAGAUGGGCAUGCGUCCGAUUAGGUAGUUGGUAGGGUAACGGCCUACCAAGCCGAUGAUCGGUAGGGGUCCUGAGAGGGUUACCCCCCACACUGGUACUGAGACACGGACCAGACUCCUACGGGAGCAGCAGUGAGGAAUAUUGGUCAAUGGGCGAGAGCCUGAACCAGCCAUCCCGCGUGCAGGAUGACGGCCCUAUGGGUUGUAAACUGCUUUUCCGCGCCAAGAAACCCCCCGACGUGUCGGGGCUGACGGUAGCGCGGGAAUAAGCACCGGCUAACUCCGUGCCAGCAGUCCGCGGUAAAGUCACA